GACGAACGCUGGCGGCGUGCCUAAUACAUGCAAGUAGAACGCACAGUUUAUACCGUAGCUUGCUACACCAUAGACUGUGAGUUGCGAACGGGUGAGUAACGCGUAGGUAACCUGCCUGGUAGCGGGGGAUAACUAUUGGAAACGAUAGCUAAUACCGCAUAAUAUUAAUUAUUGCAUGAUAAUUAAUUGAAAGGUGCAAUUGCACCACUACCAGAUGGACCUGCGUUGUAUUAGCUAGUAGGUGAGGUAACGGCUCACCUAGGCGACGAUACAUAGCCGACCUGAGAGGGUGAUCGGCCACACUGGGACUGAGACACGGCCCAGACGCCUACGGGAGGCAGCAGUAGGGAAUCUUCGGCAAGGGACGAAAGUCUGACCGAGCAACGCCGCGUGAGUGAAGAAGGUUGUCGGAUCGUAAAGCUCUGUUGUAAGAGAAGAACGGGUGUGAGAGUGGAAAGUUCACACUGUGACGGUAUCUUACCAGAAAGGGACGGCUAACUACGUG
rnacentral:rRNA from 1 species